ACGGGUGGAGUAACGCGUGGGUAACCGUGCCUCAUACAGGGGGAGUAACAGUUAGAAAUGACUGCUAAUACCGCAUAAGCGCACAGUGCUGCAUGGCACAGUGUGAAAAACUACCGGUGGUAUGAGAUGGACCCGCGUCUGAUUAGCUAGUUGGUGGGGUAACGGCCUACCAAGGCGACGAUCAGUAGCCGGCCUGAGAGGGUGAACGGCCACAUUGGGACUGAGACACGGCCCAAACUCCUACGGGAGGCAGCAUG
rnacentral:rRNA from 1 species